AGCAUAUCAAUAAGCGGAGGAAAAGAAACCAACAGGGAUUGCCCUAGUAACGGCGAGUGAAGCGGCAACAGCUCAAAUUUGAAAUCUGGCCCUCGUGGUCCGAGUUGUAAUUUGUAGAGGAUGCUUUUGGUGCGGUGCCUUCCGAGUUCCCUGGAACGGGACGCCAGAGAGGGUGAGAGCCCCGUACGGUUGGACACCUACCCUAUAUAUAGCUCCUUCGACGAGUCGAGUAGUUUGGGAAUGCUGCUCUAAAUGGGAGGUAAAUUUCUUCUAAAGCUAAAUACCGGCCAGAGACCGAUAGCGCACAAGUAGAGUGAUCGAAAGAUGAAAAGCACUUUGAAAAGAGGGUUAAAUAGCACGUGAAAUUGUUGAAAGGGAAGCGUUUGCGACCAGACCUUUUCCUGGCGGAUCAUCCGGUGUUCUCACCGGUGCACUUCGCUUGGUUUAGGCCAGCAUCGGUUUUUGUAGGGGGAUAAAAGCCUGGGGAACGUAGCUCCUUCGGGAGUGUUAUAGCCCCUAGCAUAAUACCCUUACGGGGACCGAGGACCGCGCUUCGGCAAGGAUGCUGGCGUAAUGGUCGUCAACGACCCGUCUUGAAACACGGACCAAGGAGUCGAACAUUUGUGCGAGUGUUUGGGUAUUAAACCCUCACGCGUAAUGAAAGUGAACGGAGGUGAGAGCCCUUCGGGGUGCAUCAUCGACCGAUCCUGAUGUCUUCGGAUGGAUUUGAGUAAGAGCAUAACUGUUCGGACCCGAAAGAUGGUGAACUAUGCGUGGAUAGGGUGAAGCCAGAGGAAACUCUGGUGGAGGCUCGCAGCGGUUCUGACGUGCAAAUCGAUCGUCAAAUCUGCGCAUGGGGGCGAAAGUAUGUAUACACCUAUA
rnacentral:rRNA from 1 species